GAACGCUGGCGGCGUGCUUAACACAUGCAAGUCGAACGGGGAGUAGUUGAUAGAGAGCUUCGGCAGGAAAUUGAUAAUUCGAGUGGCGGACGGGUGAGUAACGCGUGAGCAACCUGUCCCAGACAGGGGGAUAACACUUGGAAACAGGUGCUAAUACCGCAUAAGACCACGGGAUCACAUGGUUUUGGGGUAAAAGGAGCAAUCCGGUUUGGGGUGGGCUCGCGUCCGAUUAGCCAGUUGGCGGGGUAACGGGCCCACCCAAAGACGGCGAUCGGUAGCCGACCUGAGAGGGUGAACGGCCACAUUGGAACUGAGAGACGGUCCAAACUCCUACGGGAGGCAGCAGUGGGGAAUAUUGGGCAAUGGGCGAAAGCCUGACCCAGCAACGCCGCGUGAGUGAAGAAGGCCUUCGGGUUGUAAAGCUCUGUUAUAGUUGACGAAGGAAGUGACGGUAGGCUAUAAGGAAGCCCCGGCUAACUACGUGCCAGCCGCCGC
rnacentral:rRNA from 1 species